CCUACGGGAGGCAGCAGUGAGGAAUAUUGGUCAAUGGCCGGAAGGCUGAACCAGCCAUGCCGCGUGAAGGUCAGUGCCCCAUGGGCGUUAAACUUCUUUUGUGCGGGAGCAAUAAUGGUCACGUGUGGCCAGACGAGAGUACCGUACGAAUAAGCAUCGGCUAACCCCGUGCCAGCAGCCGCGGUAAUACGGGGGAUGCAAGCGUUAUCCGGGUUUAUUGGGUUUAAAGGGUGCGUAGGCUGUGAGGUAAGUCAGCGGUGAAAUGCCCCCGCUCAACGGGGUGAAGUGCCAUUGAUACUGGCUGGCUGGAAUGCGGAUGACGUGGGAGGAAUGUGUGGUGUAGCGGUGAAAUGCAUAGAUAUCACACAGAACACCGAUUGCGAAGGCAUCUCACGAAUCCGCGAUUGACGCUGAUGCACGAAAGCGUGGGUAUCAAACAGGAUUAGAUACCCCAGUAGUC
rnacentral:rRNA from 1 species